UACGUAGGCAGCAAGCGUUGUUCGGAGUUACUGGGCGUAAAGGGUGUGUAGGCGGUUGUUUAAGUUUGGUGUGAAAUCUCCCGGCUCAACUGGGAGGGUGCGCCGAAUACUGAAUGACUAGAGUGCGGGGGAGGAAAGUGGAAUUCCUGGUGUAGCGGUGAAAUGCGUAGAUAUCAGGAGGAACACCGGUGGUGUAGACGGCUUUCUGGACCGUAACUGACGCUGAGACACGAAAGCGUGGGUAGCAAACAGG
rnacentral:rRNA from 1 species